CCUACGGGAGGCAGCAGUGGGGAAUUUUGGACAAUGGGCGCAAGCCUGAUCCAGCAAUGCCGCGUGCAGGAUGAAGGCCUUCGGGUUGUAAACUGCUUUUGUACGGAACGAAACGGUGAGCUCUAAUACAGUUUGCUAAUGACGGUACCGUAAGAAUAAGCACCGGCUAACUACGUGCCAGCAGCCGCGGUAAUACGUAGGGUGCGAGCGUUAAUCGGAAUUACUGGGCGUAAAGCGUGCGCAGGCGGUGAUGUAAGACAGAUGUGAAAUGCCCGGGCUCAACCUGGGACCUGCAUUUGUGACUGCAUCGCUAGAGUACGGUAGAGGGGGAUGGAAUUCCGCGUGUAGCAGUGAAAUGCGUAGAUAUGCGGAGGAACACCGAUGGCGAAGGCAAUCCCCUGGACCUGUACUGACGCUCAUGCACGAAAGCGUGGGGAGCAAACAGGAUUAGAUACCCUGGUAGUCCACGCCCUAAACGAUGUCAACUGGUUGUUGGGUCUUCACUGACUCAGUAACGAAGCUAACGCGUGAAGUUGACCGCCUGGGGAGUACGGCCGCGAAGGUUGAAACUCAAAGAGUAGUAGGACGAGAGAGAGCGACGACGACGACGAGGAGGGAGGNG
rnacentral:rRNA from 1 species